rnacentral:misc_RNA from 1 species
GCGAAUGCUUGGCCGGCCAUGUUGCUGGAACAAGCUCAGCUCCCAAAACCUUGUGGGUUGAAGUCUGGUGGUUUGGCGCCCUUCGGGGCGCCACUUUCAUGCCAAAAAAUGGAAUGUCGUCUGACGUUGAACUUUGAAUCA